rnacentral:rRNA from 1 species
GACGAACGCUGGCGGCGUGCCUAAUACAUGCAAGUAGAACGCAGUUGCGAACGGGUGAGUAAAGCGUAGGUAAAUGCCUCAUAGCGGGGGGUAACUAUUUGGAACGAUAGGUAAUACCGCAUAGUGUGGGAUGGACCUGCGUUGUAUUAGGUAGUUGGUGGGGUAAAGGCUCACCAAGGCGCCGAUACAUAGCCGGCCUGAGAGGGAGAUCGGCCACAUUGGAACUGAGACCGGCCCCAACUUCCAAGGGAGGGCGGAGUUGGGAAACUUUGUAAAUGGAGGGAAAGCUGACCGAGGCAAGCCGCGUGAGUGAAGGAGGUUUUCCGGUCGGAAAGCUCUGUUCUUAGAGAAGCGGUAACUAACCAGAAAGGGACGGCUAACUACGUGCCAGCAGCCGCGGUAAUAC